rnacentral:rRNA from 1 species
AUAGUGAUCCGGUGGUUCUGAAUGGAAGGGCCAUCGCUCAACGGAUAAAAGGUACUCCGGGGAUAACAGGCUGAUACCGCCCAAGAGUUCAUAUCGACGGCGGUGUUUGGCACCUCGAUGUCGGCUCAUCACAUCCUGGGGCUGAAGUAGGUCCCAAGGGUAUGGCUGUUCGCCAUUUAAAGUGGUACGCGAGCUGGGUUUAGAACGUCGUGAGACAGUUCGGUCCCUAUCUGCCGUGGGCGCUGGAGAACUGAGGGGGGCUGCUCCUAGUACGAGAGGACCGGAGUGGACGCAUCACUGGUGUUCGGGUUGUCAUGCCAAUGGCACUGCCCGGUAGCUAAAUGCGGAAGAGAUAAGUGCUGAAAGCAUCUAAGCACGAAACUUGCCCCGAGAUGAGUUCUCCCUGACCCUUUAAGGGUCCUGAAGGAACGUUGAAGACGACGACGUUGAUAGGCCGGGUGUGUAAGCGCAGCGAUGCGUUGAGCUAACCGGUACUAAUGAACCGUGAGGCUUAACCUU